UCGGGAGUAGCUCAGCGGUAGAGCUAUCGGCUGUUAACCGAUCGGUCCUGGGUUCGAAUCCCAGCUCCCGAGCCA
rnacentral:tRNA from 1 species